GAUGAACGCUGGCGGCGUGCCUAAUACAUGCAAGUCGAGCGAACGGACGAGAAGCUUGCUUCUCUGAUGUUAGCGGCGGACGGGUGAGUAACACGUGGAUAACCUACCUAUAAGACUGGGAUAACUUCGGGAAACCGGAGCUAAUACCUGAUAAUAUUUUGAACCGCAUGGUUCAAAAGUGAAAGACGGUCUUGCUGUCACUUAUAGAUGGAUCCGCGCUGCAUUAGCUAGUUGGUAAGGUAACGGCUUACCAAGGCAACGAUGCAUAGCCGACCUGAGAGGGUGAGCGGCCACACUGGAACUGAGACACGGUCCAGACUCAUACGGGAGGCAGCAGUAGGGAAUCUUCCGAAAUGGGCGAAAGCCUGACGGAGCAACGCCGCGUGAGUGAUGAAGGUCUUCGGAUCGUAAAACUCUGUUAUUAGGGAAGAACAGAUGUGUAAGUAACUGUGCACAUCUUGACGGUACCUAAUCAGAAAGCCACGGCUAACUACGUG
rnacentral:rRNA from 1 species